AUCUAUUAUUUUUAUUGUUUUUCUGUCCAGGUACACUAUGAGUUAGUUUUGGAAGCAGAUCCCUCUGUAAUAAAGGAAGCUGCUUCAUUGUUACAGAUGAGCAUGGAGAAUGCUACUUCGCUUCUUGUACCUUUGCAUGUCAAACUGAAAAUUGGAAGAAAAUGGGGUUCCAUGGAACCUUUCCAGGAAGAUAAGUUGUGAGAUAAAACUCUUCUCCCCGAUUUCAAAAUUUGACUGGAAGAAACAAAUGUUUCAUAAUGUUGUUUCACACCCAGGGAAUUCAUUUCAAAUUGCUAAAAGCAGCUGAGGAGAAGGAUUUCUGCAGCAUCUUACUGCAGAUUUUGCUUCUAUCAUGAACCAACAUUGGAGCAUGGAUACCAUCAUAAAGUUCAAAAGGGAUUGGUAGACAUGUGUACAGACCUCCAUGGAAGAGUGCAGCUCAGAAGUUUUUCAUUUAGAUAAAGCAACAUCUCACGGGCGUUCCACUGACCUUGAAACAUUUGGUUCGGGUGUACAGAGACUGUCAAGCUGACCCUGAUUGAACUCUUCAAGGUGAGUGAAGUUCUGAAAAAUGAUCCUUGAGUUUGUCCAGUCACUCACUGGGGCUGUUGGCUCAAACGUCGGGACCAUCCUAUUGGAAGCCGAGUUACUCGUGUAAGGAUGGAAGAAAAGACGGCAAUGACAUUUCAUUUGAUUCGAGUUUGACUCUAAAUGCAGCUGCACUUUCAUAGCACAUCCUAUUGCCGAGGUCAUUUGAUGAUUACUUCUUUCUCUCUUUUAAUAUAAGCUGUCCAUUACGAACGCCAAAACAAGAGAUCUCAUAGCUAAUAAACUGGUUGCAAUCCAAUUUGGUUAGCACGACUUCACUUUAUUCUUUAGUCCUCAGUGACAUGAAAUAUGACCAAGUGGUUAAUUGUCCUUUAUUCAGUUAUUUAUUUAUUCUUUUUUAAUUAACAACCGUGAUUGACUUCAGCCACUUUUCUAAUGUAUUGUAAUUUUAUGGAUUUAAUUGUAAAAAUUACAAUUUACAGGCCAGGUUUUUUUUUUAAUUUUUUGAGGAAAUUGUAUCGUAUCCCUAGUGAAUUUUGAAAAAAAAAAUUCAUUUACACAUUAUUUUAUUUAGAUUUUUUAAGAUAUAACUUUGGACCAUAAUUAAUGGCAACAUAAGCAAUUUUAGCGAUAUAAUUUUAUAUGAGG